rnacentral:rRNA from 1 species
CUCUCGGCAACGGAUAUCUCGGCUCUCGCAUCGAUGAAGAACGUAGCGAAAUGCGAUACUUGGUGUGAAUUGCAGAAUCCCGUGAACCAUCGAGUCUUUGAACGCAAGUUGCGCCUGAAGCCAUUAGGCUAAAGGCACGUCUGCCUGGGCGUCACGCAUCGCG